UACGGGGGGGGCAAGCGUUGUUCGGAAUUACUGGGCGUAAAGGGCUCGUAGGUGGCCAACUAAGUCAGACGUGAAAUCCCUCGGCUUAACCGGGGAACUGCGUCUGAUACUGGAUGGCUUGAGUUCGGGAGAGGGAUGCGGAAGUUCCAGGUGUAGCGGUGAAAUGCGUAGAUAUCUGGAGGAACACCGGUGGCGAAGGCGGCAUCCUGGACCGACACUGACGCUGAGGAGCGAAAGCCAGGGGAGCAAACGGG
rnacentral:rRNA from 1 species